rnacentral:rRNA from 1 species
CCUACGGGAGGCAGCAGUGAGGAAUAUUGCACAAUGGGGGAAACCCUGAUGCAGCGACGCCGCGUGAGUGAAGAAGUAUCUCGGUAUGUAAAGCUCUAUCAGCAGGGAAGAAAAUGACGGUACCUGAUUAAGAAGCCCCGGCUAACUACGUGCCAGCAGCCGCGGUAAUACGUAGGGGGCAAGCGUUAUCCGGAUUUACUGGGUGUAAAGGGAGCGUAGACGGCAGCACAAGUCUGGAGUGAAAUGCCGGGGCUUAACCCCGGAACUGCUUUGGAAACUGGGCAGCUUGAGUGCAGGAGAGGUAAGUGGAAUUCCUGGUGUAGCGGUGAAAUGCGUAGAUAUUAGGAGGAACACCAGUGGCGAAGGCGGCUUACUGGACUGUAACUGACGUUGAGGCUCGAAAGCGUGGGGAGCAAACAGGAUUAGAUACCCGUGUAGUC